CUGGUGGCGAGUGGCGGACGGGUGAGUAACGUAUCGGAACGUACCCAGUCGUGGGGGAUAACUAUCCGAAAGGAUAGCUAAUACCGCAUACGACCUACGGGUGAAAGCAGGGGAUCUUCGGACCUUGCGUUAUUAGAGCGGCCGAUAUCUGAUUAGGUAGUUGGUAGGGUAAAGGCCUACCAAGCCGACGAUCAGUAGCUGGUCUGAGAGGACGAUCAGCCACACUGGAACUGAGACACGGUCCAGACUCC
rnacentral:rRNA from 1 species